AACAUAGGAACACCUGCUAAAUGCGCCACUUCCUGUGGCAACGCAUGUGUUAGCAUGUCCUAUGCG
rnacentral:sRNA from 19 species